rnacentral:pre_miRNA from 1 species
UAAUAGUAAUAGUGAUGAUGAUGAUGAUGAUGAUGAUGAUGAUGAUGAAGAUAAAUAGGCAAUAAAUAAAGCAUCAUUAUCAUAUGGUGCUCAGGACAGAGUCGGGUACAGCUUUGUCACCUUCAUCAUCAUCAUCAUCAUCAUCAUCAUCAUCAUCAUCA